AUAUGGGGACCUCCCAGCCCGGUCCUUGUGGUGGAAAAUGGCAUGCUUUUAUCAUGGUCAGGAGGAUUACUCAUAGAAUGUUGAUUAGCAAAGGGCAUAUGAACACAGGACAAAAUGUGAAAUGAAGUGGAGGAGUUCAGAUGCCAGUGGAGAACACGGCUGUUCUUCCUCUGCUUUAAGGCUCCCUUCCUUGCAGGGGGAACCAAGGAAGAAAUCAUCAACAACAUGAAAAAUCCUCCUUCUCCCUGGAAAUGAACAAAAUGUGCAUUCACUACAGGAGUGCAACACUGGGGAAAGUUAAUUUUAUCUACACAUGACAAAUCUAUCAUUUCGGUUUCACCCUAAGUUUUGUUUAUGGAAGUUCUUGGAAAGAUAAGGGAAAUAGCAAAGAAAGAGAGCAGGGGAGUCCUCGGUUGCUAACAGCAGUCCUGGACUGGAAUCCAUUGGCAAAAGUAGCAAUAGCAUGCAUUGGCUUGUUUGAGAAGCCCUGGGUGAGCCUUUGUUGCAUAAAGUAGGAGGUCUGUUAUUGUCUUGGUAGCAUAUGCCUUCAUUAUAAGUUUGCCUCUUUGAAAGAAUAUUCAAAGACCAACACAAAAGAGAACAUUUCCAGAUCCAAGAGAGUGUAUG
rnacentral:lncRNA from 1 species